UGAGGAACAUGACUUUCGGUGGGGGAGUAGCCGGCCCAACGGCCGGGUAAUACCGCGUACGACCACAUGGGGACAUCCCUGAGUGGUGAAAGCAGCAAUGCGCCGAUGGAGUGCCUCGCGGCCUAUCAGCUAGUUGGUGAGGUAACGGCUCACCAAGGCGACGACGGGUAGCUGGUCUGAGAGGAUGGCCAGCCACAUUGGGACUGAGACACGGCCCAGACCUNUACCGGGGAGG
rnacentral:rRNA from 1 species